rnacentral:rRNA from 1 species
UACGUAGGCAGCAAGCGUUGUUCGGAGUUACUGGGCGUAAAGGGCGCGUAGGCGGCCCGCUAAGUCGAACGUGAAAUCCCCGAGCUCAACUCGGGAACUGCGUCCGAUACUGGCGGGCUUGAAUCCGGGAGAGGGAUGCGGAAUUCCAGGUGUAGCGGUGAAAUGCGUAGAUAUCUGGAGGAACACCGGUGGCGAAGGCGGCAUCCUGGACCGGCAUUGACGCGUGAG